GGGAACUUGAGAAAAUAUAAUAUAAAUAUUUACUUAACAGCAGGAGAGAGCAGCAAAUUAGUCCAUGUGCUUGACUCUUUAUCAUGCAAGCCUCCACAAAAAUCGUACUGAGGUCCAUGCAUUAUUUCCUAAUUACAUGACAGACAACUACCCCAUUUAGACAUUGGAUAACCAUAUCAAUGAGAUCAUUGCACUCCAAGGCAACAUAUAUCAGCUACCCAGCAUUGGUACGUUGGUCAUUCAGGCUAGUGUCAAUGAACAAAGUAUCAAGCAUGCUUGAAAGAGAUGGAAUGAAACAGUUGUAUUACCUAAAGAUUAGCCAAAAUAGGCGCCAUGGUACAAACUUAAACCUCGUAACUAGGAUUUGAAAAUUGUCCUCAUGAGUUGCAUCACCAAUAUCAGAGUCAAAAUUGUGAAAGCUCUUCAGCAAACCUUCAGGGCUACACAUGCUAGUCAACACUUUUCGCACCUCUCCGAGGCAAGGGAAGAUCAAGGAUAACUAAGAAAUAGCAUCUUUCUGACUCCCUGAUGUAUUGGACUUCACCUUGCAUAAGCUUCAAAAUCUUCCUGCACAUG
rnacentral:misc_RNA from 1 species